GGGAAUGUGGCUUAGUGGUAGAGCGCGUGCCUAGCAUGCAGGAAGCCCUGGGUUCAAUUCCUCAGUACCA
rnacentral:tRNA from 1 species